rnacentral:rRNA from 1 species
AUUGAACGCUGGCGGCAGGCCUAACACAUGCAAGUCGAGCGGAGCGGCGGACGGGUGAGUAAUGCCUAGUAAUCUGCCUGGUAGUGGGGGAUAACGUCCGGAAACGGGCGCUAAUACCGCAUACUAUCAGAUGAGCCUAGGUCGGUUUAGAUAGUUGGUGGGGUAAAGGCCUACCAAGGCGACGAUCCGUAACUGGUCGGAGAGGAUGAUCAGUCACCCGAGAACGGAAACACGGUCCAGACUCCUACGGGAGGCAGCAGGGGGGAAUAUGAGGCAAUGGGCGAAAGCCUGAUCCAGCCAUGCCGCGUGUGUGAAGAAGGUCUUCGGAUUGUAAAGCACUUUUAGUUGGGAGGCGUUACCAACAGAAUAAGCACCGGCUAACUUCGUGCCAGCCGCCGCGGUAAUAC